rnacentral:rRNA from 1 species
GCUCAGAACUUAAAGGAAUUGACGGGGCCGCACAAGCGGUGGAGCAUGUGGUUUAAUUCGAUGAUACGCGAGGAACCUUACCUGGGCUCAAAUGUAUGUUGACGUAUUCUGAAAGGGAUACUUCUUCGGACAAUAUACAAGGUGCUGCAUGGUUGUCGUCAGCUCGUGCCGUGAGGUGUCGGGUUAAGUCCCAUAACGAGCGCAACCCCUACCUUUAGUUGCCAUCAGGUAAUGCUGGGGACUCUAAAGGAACUGCCUACGCAAGUAGUGAGGAAGGCGGGGAUGACGUCAAAUCAGCACGGCCCUUACGUCCAGGGCUACACACGUGCUACAAUGGCCGAUACAGAGGGCAGCUACCUGGUGACAGGAUGCAAAUCUCCAAAGUCGGUCUCAGUUCGGAUCGGAGUCUGCAACCCGACUCCGUGAAGUUGGAUUCGCUAGUAAUCGCGCAUCAGCCAUGGCGCGGUGAAUACGUUCCCGGGCCUU